rnacentral:rRNA from 1 species
GACGAACGCUGGCGGCGUGCUUAACACAUGCAAGUCGAACGGAAAGGCCCUGCUUUUGUGGGGUGCUCGAGUGGCGAACGGGUGAGUAACACGUGAGUAACCUGCCCUUGACUUUGCGAUAACUUCAGGAAACUCGGGCUAAUACCGGAUAGGAGCUCCUGCUGCAUGGUGGGGGUUGGAAAGUUUCGGCGGUUGGGGAUGGACUCGCGGCUUAUCAGCUUGUUGGUGGGGUAGUGGCUUACCAAGGCUUUGACGGGUAGCCGGCCUGAGAGGGUGACCGGCCACAUUGGGACUGAGAUACGGCCCAGACUCCUACGGGAGGCAGCAGUGGGGAAUAUUGCACAAUGGGCGGAAGCCUGAUGCAGCAACGCCGCGUGCGGGAUGACGGCCUUCGGGUUGUAAACCGCUUUCGCCUGUGACGAAGCGUGAGUGACGGUAAUGGGUAAAGAAGCACCGGCUAACUACGUG